UCUGUAGGCGGUUAGGUAAGUCAGAUGUGAAAUCCCGGGGCUCAACCCCGGAACUGCAUCCGAUACUGCCUGACUAGAGUGUUGGAGGGGAAACUGGAAUUCUCGGUGUAGCAGUGAAAUGCGUAGAUAUCGAGAGGAACACUAGUGGCGAAGGCGAGUUUCUGGACAACCACUGACGCUGAGAGACGAAGGCCAGGGUAGCGAAAA
rnacentral:rRNA from 1 species